GAUGAACGCUGGCGGCGUGCCUAAUACAUGCAAGUCGAGCGAACAGAUAAGGAGCUUGCUCCUUUGACGUUAGCGGCGGACGGGUGAGUAACACGUGGGUAACCUACCUAUAAGACUGGGAUAACUUCGGGAAACCGGAGCUAAUACCGGAUAAUAUUUCGAACCGCAUGGUUCGAUAGUGAAAGAUGGUUUUGCUAUCACUUAUCGAUGGACCCGCGCCGUAUUAGCUAGUUGGUAAGGUAACGGCUUACCAAGGCGACGAUACGUAGACGACGUGAGAGGGGGGUCGGCCGCACGGGAAGGUGACCACGGUCCAGGGUCCUGCGGUAGGCACCAGUAGGGAACCGUCCGCAGUGGUCGGAAGCCUGACGGAACGGCGCGACGUGUGUUGUAAAAGUGUUGCGAGCGUAAAGCUCUGUUUUUAGUUAAAAACAUAUGUGGAAGGAACUGUACACGGAUUGACGGUAACGAGUAAGAAAGCAACGGCUAACUACGUG
rnacentral:rRNA from 1 species